UACAGGGGGUGCAAACGUUGCUCGGAAUCAUUGGGCGUAAAGCGCACGUAGGCGGUUCGUUAUGUCGGAUGUGAAAGCCCUUGGCUUAACCGAGGAAGUGCAUCCGAAACUGGCGAGCUAGAGUAUGUAAGAGGGUCGCGGAAUUCCCGGUGUAGAGGUGAAAUUCGUAGAUAUCGGGAGGAACACCGGUGGCGAAGGCGGCGACCUGGGACAAUACUGACGCUGAGGUGCGAAAGCGUGGGGGAGCAAACAGG
rnacentral:rRNA from 1 species